rnacentral:rRNA from 1 species
AAAGAAACCAACCGGGAUUGCCUCAGUAACGGCGAGUGAAGCGGCAAAAGCUCAAAUUUGAAAUCUGGCCCUUCCGGGGUCCGAGUUGUAAUUUGUAGAGGAUGCUUCGGGUGCGGCCCCUGUCUAAGUGCUCUGGAACGGGCCAUCGGAGAGGGUGAGAAUCCCGUCUGGGACGGGGUGUCCGUGUCCGUGUGAAGCUCCUUCGACGAGUCGAGUUGUUUGGGAAUGCAGCUCUAAAUGGGUGGUAAAUUUCAUCUAAAGCUAAAUACAGGCCGGAGACCGAUAGCGCACAAGUAGAGUGAUCGAAAGAUGAAAAGCACUUUGAAAAGAGAGUUAAACAGCACGUGAAAUUGUUGAAAGGGAAGCACUUGCAACCAGACUCGCCCACGGGGUUCAGCCGGCUUUCGGGCCGGUGUACUUCCCCGGGGGCGGGCCAGCGUCGGUUUGGGCGGCCGGUUAAAGGCCCCCGGAAUGUAACACCCCUCGGGGUGUCUUAUAGCCGGGGGUGCCAUGCGGCCAGCCCAGACCGAGGAACGCGCUUCGGCACGGACGCUGGCAUAAUGGUCGUAAAUGAC